UACGUAGGGUGCAAGCGUUGUCCGGAAUUAUUGGGCGUAAAGAGCUCGUAGGCGGCUCGUUGCGUCGGCUGUGAAAACCCGCAGCUCAACUGUGGGCUUGCAGCCGAUACGGGCGGGCUGGGAUUCGGUAGGGGAGACUGGAAUUCCUGGUGUAGCGGUGAAAUGCGCAGAUAUCAGGAGGAACACCGAUGGCGAAGGCAGGUCUCUGGGCAUUAACUGACGCUGAGGAGCGAAAGCAUGGGGAGCGAACAGG
rnacentral:rRNA from 1 species